GGGGGUAUAGCUCAGUCGGUAGAGCGGCGGUCUCCAAAACCGUAGGUCGAGGGUUCAAGUCCUUCUGCCCCCGCCA
rnacentral:tRNA from 1 species